AGGCUGUACAAAAAGGGAGUACAGGAACUGAAUUAAUGGAAAAAUAAAGUGAAAUUCAGAUAAGUUUUGUAGAAAUUUCAGUCCGAGAAGCUCUGGAUGAGGCUCCAGAGGCAGCAGUUGAAAGGAAUAGUCAGAGAAGCACUGGAAGGACAUCCCACCAGCAAAUAUGGAGAUCUGACCUAGACAAGAGCACCAGAAGAAAGAACUAAGCAGAGAAGGAGUUUGAAGAAGAGAAGUUAGCAAGGCUGGGCCCUGACCCAGGGAAAUGUCUGCCUCCAGGUGAGGAGCUGAGAAAAGUCAUGAAGCUCAGACUGCAGAGUUAUUUCUGACUGUGGGACUACAAAUUCCCAGCCUUAUUUUAACAGCAGCUGCAAUGGGGAGUGUGGUGAGUGGGCAACAGGUGAGGCUCUCUGGGGGAAUGUCCCUGGGCUCUGCUCUGGCCACGCUGCCCAGGGAGGACAAGGACAGGGCAGGGACCUGCCACUCUCUGGGGCAGGCGUGGGGAGCUGUGGAGGCUGUGAACACCCUGGUGUGACUGUUGCCUUCGAUGAGCUGGCAAAGGAAUGAGGAAAACUUGCCAGAGAUUCCUCUUGCUUCUUUUCUUGCACAGCGCUGGGAAAGGACAGUUUUCUGGCUGCUAAGAUAAUUCUCUGCUUGAAAUUUGAAUACCUUUUGCCUUUGACAAAGACAUUAU